ensembl:rRNA 5S_rRNA 5S ribosomal RNA
GUCUACAGCCGUAUCGCCCUGGACAUGCCUGGUCUUGUCUGAUCUCAGGAGCCAAACAGGGUCAGGCCUGGUUAGUAUGAGAAAGGGAGAAAUCUGCUUUGUCUAUC